ACUGAGACAGUGACAGAUAGGUAGAUUAUUAUCACGACAGUUUCUUACGAGGAAGCAACAGAAUUGCUACACACUGAAUUGAGGAUGCAACAUAAUUGCUACAAAAAACAGAGAACAUCAAUUUAGCAGCAGCCAAGAAUUAUAAUUCCAUCAGAAGAACCGUCAAGAUGGCAACUCAUACAAAGCCCAUGGACGAAUUUGAAGAGGAAUCCAUUAAGUUGGAAAUUAAAACCAUCGCCGCUAAGUACAAGUUCGACGAAAGUUUACGCGGCAAAUGGAUGUUGUUUGCCAAGCAUGAAAGUGUGGACGACAUGUGGGCGAAGGCAGUUGAGCUCUACAGCGCGGGAAAACUGCCAGGCAUCAUCUUCGUGCAGACGUCGACAGCCGCCCCUUGCGUCCGUGCUGGAGAAACCGACCGCGGAGCAAUACGUUUCGCUUGCGGGCCUCACACAGACCGCGAACUAGUUCUUCAGUACGGGUAGCAGCUGAUCGAGAAAAUGCAAUAUUACAGCACAGAUUGUGGAUUUGUUGCCUACAAGACUGAUGCCCAGUCGCGGAUCGGGACCAAGGCGACCGGAGUUAAGAAGAACCAUAUAUACCGGCUACCAGUGCCCACGUACGAUCGAUUGGAGCAGAAGUCGGGCAGAUUCUCAAAAGCCCCCUUGGAAAUGCCAUCGCGGAUUUGUUUGCGUGAGUGGGUUGCUGAAGUAGUUGGGGAUUACCUUAAAGAUCCUGCAGAUAUAAAUGACUAUCCCAGAUGGACGAUGCAAUUCCCUAAAGGAAGAACCCACGACUCGGCAUGGGUCAGGGCCUGUCGCCUCUACCGCAGCGGCGAACUGAAAAACGUGGCAUUCAUUCGAACGUCGACAGCUAAAGCCCCACCGAACAAGGAGCACAACCGAUAUGGAGUUAUAUGGUUUUACAUCCGUGAAAAUAUUCCGAAGUCAGAAUUGCUCCACUGUGGAAAUGAUCUUGUGAAAAAAUUAAAUUACUCAUUCAGAUAUGGGGAACUAAGAUGUAUUUCGUACAAGACUGGUGAAUACGUUGUACUGUGCCGAAUUCCAACCUGUUAAGGUAAGAGCCAACUACUAACCAACCAAAAUUCAUCGCCCCACAUGCCCAAAAUGGGGCAUGAAUUCGGCAUUGAAUCGCCCCAGUGAAAUGGAUUGCAUCCACACAUUGGCUGCGUCAGCGAAAUAGGUUGCGUCUACACAUAUUUGUUCCUCGAAAUUUGUCAGGUUCGUUUUACUUGAAGACGCACGCAGAUUUUAUUCAUAAACGGAAUCUCAAUUGGGUUAUUUUCACAUACUGUUUUUAUUGGAAUUAAAUCCCAGACGCGACUUUUAUGAAGUCGGAGAUAAUGAACGGAUUUGCCCUUUGUGGUCGCUUUUUAUGUAACUAUUCAAUCGAGCUAUUAAAUUCUAAACUCUUGUACUUCUGCGAAUUUUACCAAAUAAUAUGCCAACGUAAGCCAUUUCAACUCGGAAGUCGUCAUUUCAAAAGUAAGUUAAGAACUGUUCCGCAUAGAUGUCGGUCAAUUUAAACUUCUAAUCUCCCUCUUCAUCAUCGAACAUGUUAAGUGUAUCAGAACAACAACUUGACGUCUCUUCACUUGAAAAAUGUAAUAUUUCGAAGCAUUAAUUAUCUAUUAACACUCUAUAUAGGACGAGGAAUUGUAGUGGUAAAAAUUCAUCUCUCAACACAUCAAUUAUUUCUCGCAUUUACCACUUGAUUUUCGCUGGAUGAUCAUAGAGAAAUGAUUUGCUUUGGUCACAAUGUAUGAACAGUUUUUUGAACACCAUAAUUAUUCUAUGCUGGUCUAAUGCCAGGUUUCUCACUCGUUCAGAAACAACCCCGAUUCAUAUAUGAAUACAAUGGUCUACCAACGUUAUACUUCUGUAAAGUCUAUGCGUCUUCAAAAGUCUUAUCCAAAUUAAUUGUUUCUCAAUUUUUUUUUAUAUCUUUGUUUGCGACUUUAUUACGUCAAAAAUAAAUAAAAUAAGCAGCGUUUGUUUUUCUUAGCGGCGCCAUUUCUUCCGUUGAAACUUCUUGUUAGUAUCUUCAGCGGCUACACAGUAUAUCGACUGGUGCAGUAAUUGUUCAUUGCUUAUGAAAGUUACGAUGGAAAAUUGUAUUUUGCUUUGCAUUCUAUAAAAGUUGGCAACGAUGUCAACUUGUAUUUCAGUAUGGAAGAAAUACAAUGUCUGUAAUUUCAGGUUUGUUUUUAGCUGAACCGAAUUUAGAUCUCUUGUUACGCAGGGCUUGUCCCUUUCAUUAAUUUUUCAAUCCUUUGGUUUAUCGGAUGCAGUGAAAAUGUCAACUAGCGUACGUAGAAUUUUUUUCUACUGACUGUAAUUAUAACUGAAAAAUAAAGUUCUAAGCGAGAAAUUCAAUGUAUGAUAAUUUACGAAUGUUAAACAACUAUCUACUUUAUAAGGAAGAAUGUGAGCUGAGCGUGCGGAAAUAGUCGAAUGACAUAAUCGUCGAAAACAAUGCGGGCUCGGAAAACUUCAUUUAAAAAAUGUCAACUCAUCAAAAGUAGCCAUUGCAACAAUAUUAUACUGGCAGUUUUUCGUGUCUUAACCUGACAUAUUUUCAAGUUCGUUUUAGGAAUGAACUUUGGUAGAUAUCGAACGUAGCCCGUCUGGUGCAUGCCCAGCCCCCGAAGUGUAGUGCGUGUUUCCCAUUCCGAUCUACAAGAUCUCAAUUUAAAUUCAAAGUCCAAGCACAAAUUCACCAAGAAUUUAAAGGCACCAAAGACGGUAUGGAAAUCCACCAUAUCGUCAUUAAUAACAGUGAAAAAAGCGUUUGUAUUUUGCGAUAUCCUAACCUCAAUUAGUAUAGUCGUUGAGCUAUUUUUAAACGAGUUUACGUAAUUAGGUGAAUAUAUAAUGAAUUAGGCCCCUAAUGGUACACCUGCACGAUUGAUUCACCCGUGCCACGAGAGUGUCUCGUUUGCGGUUGUAUUCCAUGCGGAGGUGAGAUAUAACAUCAUGCAUAUAUACCACGAAUUCAUGAAUUGAGAACUCAAUGGAAUACAAUUUGAAAAUUAAUGACCAGAUAAUUAGGCUAUUUAUCAUGAGUUGUAAUAUUUUACGUUAUUCAAUAGAAAAU